UACGGAGGGGACUAGCGUUGUUCGGAAUUACUGGGCGUAAAGCGCACGUAGGCGGAUUUGUAAGUCAGGGGUGAAAUCCCGAGGCUCAACCUCGGAACUGCCUUUGAUACUGCAAAUCUCGAGUCCGGAAGAGGUGAGUGGAAUUCCUAGUGUAGAGGUGAAAUUCGUAGAUAUUCGGAAGAACACCAGUGGCGAAGGCGGCCCACUGGACUGGUAUUGACGCUGAGGCUCGAAAGCGUGGGAGCAAACAGG
rnacentral:rRNA from 1 species